UUUUAGAAAAAAAAAAAAAAAAAGACAUUUCUCUAUACAACGAGGCAAACUGUCCCAGAGGCCAUGCAAUAGAAAGCUCACAGACCAAGACAAACAAAGAUGGAAAACAUACUGUUUGUGUUCUCAAGAAAUUUACAAUCUAAUGAUGGGGUCGAAUGCCCAGAAUGCUGGAAGAGAGGCAGAAAGUGACAGAAAUGUAAUUACUGAAGAUGGAUUUCAGCCAGGCCACCUGAAUUAAUAACCAGCCCGAAUCUUCUUGCUCUGGGAGAGAGUGGAACAGAACUUUAUUGACCACAGAUGGUCAUG